UUUUUUUUUUUUUUUUUUUUUUAAUCUGGAAAUUCACAAAAAUGCAAUCCUUUUUUGCUUCUUCUACUCUUCUUUUUCACCAAUUUUUGACUGGCAACAUACUGCAUCCUGGAUGAACAUGUCCAAGCUGUUAAUGUAUUUGUUUUCAUUUGUUCUUAGCAUGUGAAUAAAGCUCUCCCUACAUAUUCACUUUAGGAUCCACAGAAUCUGCAUACAUAUAUAUAUAUGUAUAUACAUACAUACAUAUAUAUAUUCUAUUUGAAUAAUUUCUUAAGCAAGUCACCUCCUUUCUCCACAAGUGAAACUAAUUUAAAAAACCUGACCUCAGUGCUACUAUACACCUAUUACAAUGGUCAAAAUCAGAAUAAUGACAACAUCUACUGCUGGUAAGGAUGUGGAGUAGCAGCAACUCAUUCAUGGCUGGUAGAGCUGCAAAAUUGUACAGACACUUCGGAAAACAGUGACAUACAAAGCUAAACAUAGUGCUAUUAUUCAAUCCAGCAAUCAUUCUCCUAAGUAUUUAUCCAAAUGAGUUGAAAACUUAUGUCUACACAAAAACCUGCACACGAGUGUUUAUAGCAGCUGCAUUUGUAAUUGCCAAAAACUAGAAUUGAACAUUAUUCAAAAAUAAAAAGAAAUAAAUUAUCAAGCCACAAAAAGACAUAAAGAAACUGUAAAUGCAUACCAAUAAAUGAAAGAAGCCAGCCUGGAAAGGCUACAUAGUGUAUGACUCCCAGCUAUAAUGACAUUCUAGAAAAGGCAAAACUAUAGAGACAGUGAAGAGAUCAGUGGUUGCUAGGGAGAAGGGAGCAAGGUGUUUUUUAGAGCAGUGAAAUAAAUCUGUAUGAUACUGUAAUGGUGGAUACAUGACAUUAUGCAUUUAUCAAAACCCACAGAACUAUACAACAUAAAGAGUCAGCCCUAAUGUAAACCAGGGAUUUUGUUAAUAAUAAUGUAACAAUAUCAGUUCAUCAAUUGUAACAAAUGUACCACACUAAUGCAAGAUGUUAUUAAAAGCAGAAAUUGGGUGGAUUGGCGGGGGCAGUGAGGUGGGUACAUAGAACUCUCUGCACAUUCUGAUAAUUUUUCCACAAACUUGAAACUCUUCCCCAAAUCAAAGUCUAUUAAUUAAACAGAUAACUUUUUUAAACUCUUCAGAGCUUUUUUAUACCGAUCUGUAUAAGUACUGAUUUCUUACUAGUUUCACGCUGAAUAGCUAGGAAAUAUUCUUUCAUUUUUCCCAUUAGUUAUGAUUCCCUGCUCUGUGUACCUUACUUCUAACACUGAUGCAACAUGACAAUGGGAAUAGCAAAAGAACAUUUCACUCCAGACUAUAAAGUUUCUUUAGAUCAAUUUUUUCAACUAGUUUUAAAUCUGCCUAUAAUUUAAUCCCUGUUUCUCUAUCUCACACAAAGGUAUCCUACACGAUUAUGUCACUGCCUUAAUGAAAAUCAAAAGGUAUUAUGCUGAGCACAGUGUCUGGCAUAUAGCUGUUAACUUAAUAAAAGUCAUAUUAUUAAUAUUCUCUUACCAUAAUCUAGUGGUCCCACCCACAAAAAAUAAUUGUUAGUUUGAUAUUCCUUAUUUUUAGUGACGUCAUUCUGACUCUUAAGCAUCCCCAUAUUCUUUGCUAAGUGUUUAAAAAUAAUCUAUUUAAAAUUUUCUUCUUGUUUUUUUUUUAUCCCUUUAAAAUUUGAUAGUAAGUCUACAGACUUGCCAUCUAUAAAACCUGCCCAUUUUGUUCUCUUAGGAAAUAGCAAUAUACUCAUGUUUUCCUCUAUUUUAAUUACUUCUAGCAUAUGGGUCUGGAAGUUUGAACUCCUUUAAAGAGACCCACUGGAUAUAUUAGUAAAGUUAUCAGGCCAUCUUUGCAAACCUGAGACUGACAAGCUCACUUGGACAACUUGAGUUUCAAUUCCUUCUACAUGAUAUACUUUUUCCUAUAUUUCCCCUUGGAAGACAAUUCUUAAAGUGAAAGAUGCAGUAAUCCAAGGAUCACAGAUUUUUGCUUUCCAUUUAACCCCUUACCAGAGUGGUGCUGGGUCUCCUCCUAUACAUAAUAUAAAGAGAUACUUUGUUAUUGUUUCUGAUGAUAUGACAUUUGUUGUCAGCUCAGCUUAUACCCAACUUGGAGCUUUUUACAAGUUUGUGCUGCUUUAUUAAUCCUGGGACAUAUUGCACUUUUCAUCUCUUUCAAAGAUUGUUUUUCAGUUUUAUUGGGGCACAACUGACAAUUAAAAAUUAUAUAUAUAUUUAAGGUUUAUAAUUUUUGAUGAUUUUGUAUAUACAAAAUAUACAUAAAUAUCCACUAGAAUGAAGCUAAUUAACAUAUUCCUCACCCCACAUAGUUAUCAUUUUUUUCUUUCAUCUUUUUUUUUUAUGAUGUUAACACUUAAAAUCUAUCCUCUUAGCAAAUUUCAACUAUACAAUGCAAUAUUCUUAACUAGUACAUGUGAGCUCCAGAACUUCUUUAUCUUGGAUAACUGAAACUUGUAC
rnacentral:lncRNA from 1 species